AUAUUUCGCAAUGGGGGAAACCCUGAUGCAGUGACGCCGCGUGAGCGAAGAAGGCNUUNNGGUCGNANAGCUCUGUCCUAAGGNNNNNAACGGACGGUANCUUAGGAGGAAGCCUCGGCUAACUACGUGCCAGCAGCCGCGGUAAUACGUAGGGGGCGAGCGUUAUCCGGAAUUAUUGGGCGUAAAGGGUGCGUAGGCGGCCUUUUAAGUCAGAUGUGAAAGGCUACGGCUUAACCGUAGUUAGCAUUUGAAACUAAAAGGCUUGAGUGCAGGAGAGGAGAGUGGAAUUCCUAGUGUAGCGGUGAAAUGCGUAGAUAUUAGGAGGAACACCAGUGGCGAAGGCGACUCUCUGGACUGCAACUGACGCUGAGGCACGAAAGCGUGGGGAGCGAACAGG
rnacentral:rRNA from 1 species